rnacentral:rRNA from 1 species
CCUACGAGUGGCAGCAGUGGGGAAUAUUGGGCAAUGGAGGCAACUCUGACCCAGCAACGCCGCGUGAAUGAUGAAGGUCUUCGGAUUGUAAAGUUCUGUGAUGGGGGAUGAACACAAUGACGGUACCCCAAUAGCAAGCCACGGCUAACUACGUGCCAGCAGCCGCGGUAAUACGUAGGUGGCAAGCGUUAUCCGGAAUGACUGGGCGUAAAGGGUGCGUAGGUGGGAAGCCAAGUCAGCUGUGAAAACUACGGGCUUAACCUGUAGACUGCAGUUGAAACUGGCUUUCUUGAGUGAAGUAGAGGUUGGCGGAAUUCCGGGUGUAGCGGUGAAAUGCGUAGAUAUUCGGAGGAACACCGGUGGCGAAGGCGGCCAACUGGGCUUUAACUGACGCUGAGGCUCGAAAGUGUGGGGAGCAAACAGGAUUAGAUACCCCGGUAGUC